rnacentral:rRNA from 1 species
UACAGGGGGUGCAAACGUUGCUCGGAAUCAUUGGGCGUAAAGCGCACGUAGGCGGUCUGUUAUGUCGGAUGUGAAGGCCCUCGGCUUAACUGAGGAAGUGCAUCCGAAACUGGCAGGCUAGAGUACCAAAGAGGGUCGCGGAAUUCCCGGUGUAGAGGUGAAAUUCGUAGAUAUCGGGAGGAACACCGGUGGCGAAGGCGGCGACCUGGGUGGAUACUGACGCUGAGGUGCGAAAGCGUGGGGAGCAAACAGG